rnacentral:sRNA from 1 species
GGACGCGGACGACGGAGGGUCGGGUCUAUCUGCCGCACACACCAUGUAAUUAUGUUUGUAAUUUAAAGAUGUAAUAUUAUGUUUAUGAUUUAGUUUACGCCUUAGUUUAUUCGCUAACUUAACGAUACUGAAGUUUACCUACGAACAUGUGUUUCUGUAGCCUAAGACCUUUCACCACACCCACAUGCACACCUA